rnacentral:misc_RNA from 1 species
CAACCCUCAAGCUAAGCUUGGUCUUGGGCACUGCCGGUAGCGGCUUGCCUUAAAACUAGUGGCGGUGCCAUUCGAGCUCUACGCGUAGUAAUUUAUAUCCUCGCGAUUGAGACUUGGUGGAUGCUUGCCAGCAACCCUUCAAUUUUUAU